rnacentral:rRNA from 1 species
CUACGAGACGCAGCAGUGGGGAAUAUUGCACAAUGGGCGCAAGCCUGAUGCAGCAACGCCGCGUGAGGGAUGAAGGCCUUCGGGUUGUAAACCUCUUUUAGCAGGGAAGAAGCGAAAGUGACGGUACCUGCAGAAAAAGCACCGGCUAACUACGUGCCAGCAGCCGCGGUAAUACGUAGGGUGCAAGCGUUGUCCGGAAUUAUUGGGCGGAAAGAGCUCGUAGGCGGUUUGUCACGUCUGCUGUGAAAAUCCAAGGCUCAACCUUGGACUUGCAGUGGGUACGGGCAGGCUAGAGUGCGGUAGGGGAGAUGGGAAUUCCUGGUGUAGCGGUGGAAUGCGCAGAUAUCAGGAGGAACACCAAUGGCGAAGGCACAUCUCUGGGCCGUAACUGACGCUGAGGAGCGAAAGCGUGGGGAGCGAACAGGAUUAGAUACCCUUGUAGUC